CUAACACAUGCAAGUCGAGGGGUAGCAGGAUGUAGUAAUACAUUGCUGACGACCGGCGCACGGGUGAGUAACACGUAUGCAACCUACCUUCUACAGGGGGAAUAGCCCGGAGAAAUUCGGAUUAAUACCCCAUAACGCAGGGAUACCGCAUGGUAAUAUUUGCUAAAGAUCAAUCGGUAGAAGAUGGGCAUGCGUUCCAUUAGCCGGUUGGUGAGGUAACGGCUCACCAAAGCUACGAUGGAUACGGGAACUGNNNNGUUUAUCCCCCNCACUNNAACUGAGACACGGUCCAGACUCCUACGGGAGGCAGCAGUGAGGAAUAUUGGUCAAUGGACGAGAGUCUGAACCAGCCAAGUCGCGUGAAGGAUGACGGCCCUACGGGUUGUAAACUUCUUUUGUAUGGGAGUAAAAAGAUGGACGUGUCCAUUAUUGCAAGUACCAUACGAAUAAGCAUCGGCUA
rnacentral:rRNA from 1 species